rnacentral:rRNA from 1 species
UACGAAGGGGGCUAGCGUUGCUCGGAAUCACUGGGCGUAAAGCGCACGUAGGCGGAUUGCUAAGUCAGGGGUGAAAUCCUGGAGCUCAACUCCAGAACUGCCUUCGAUACUGGGAGUCUCGAGUCCGGGAGAGGUGAGUGGAACUGCGAGUGUAGAGGUGAAAUUCGUAGAGUAUUCGCAAGAACACCAGUGGCGAAGGCGGCUCACUGGCCCG